GCCGAAAAUCUAGCCCCCCCCCCCCAAAAAAACUUUUUCCUUCCUACCCACAAACCAAAACAUUUUGACAUUUUAGUAAAGGAGAUUAAAAAAUUUCUAGGAGCAAUAGACGCAGUACCGCAAGGGAAAGAUGAAAUAGCAAUGAAACACACUUAAGCACAAAAAAAUAAAGAUUAACCCUUGUACCUUUUGCAUCAUGGUUUAACUAGUCCAAUCAGGCAAAAAGAAAUGCAGUCUGACCCCCCGAAACUAAGCGAGCUACUUCGGAGCAGCCUCAUGGGCACACCCGUCUCUGUUGCAAAAGAGUGGAAUGACUCCAAAGUAGUGGCGAUAUACCUAACGAGCUUAGUGAUAGCUGGUUACUCGAGAAAUGGAUUUUAGUCCAGCCUAAAGUUGUAUUAACUUACCCUUAAACCAUAACCCAACUUUAGAGUCAAUCAAAUAAGGUACAGCCUAUUUGACCCAGGAUACAACCUCAAUUGACGGGUAAAACAAAACCAACACACCCUAGUAGGCCUAAGAGCAGCCACCUUUUAAAAAGCGUCACAGCUUAGCUAAACCCUAUUAUAAUCCCUACUUUAUCUCUUAACCCUCCUUAAGUAUCGAGUAAUUCUAUAACCUAUAGAAAAUUUUAUGUUAAAACUAGUAACAAGAAGAACGAGCUUCUCUUUAAUGUAAGUAUAAGUCAGAAAGGACAAACCACUGACAAUUAACGCCUUUGAACACAAAUUAGUAAAAGCACAAGAAAAGUCUUAUAUAACAUACGUUAACCUAACACAAGAGCAUUCCAAGAAAGAUUAAAAGAAAAGGAAGGAACUCGGCAAAUAUUAGCCCCGCCUGUUUACCAAAAACAUCGCCUCUUGACUAAAAAUAAGAGGUCCAGCCUGCCCACUGACACAUGUUCAACGGCCGCGGUAUCCUAACCGUGCGAAGGUAGCGUAAUCACUUGUUCUUUAAAUGAGGACUAGUAUGAACGGCAUCACGAGGGCUAUACUGUCUCCCUUUUCCAAUCAGUGAAACUAAUCUCCCCGUGAAGAAGCGGGGUUGACACUAUAAGACGAGAAGACCCUGUGGAGCUUUAAAUUUUUAUUCAAGUGCCCCCCCCCAUAGAAUUCCAACUAUACAAAUAAAUAUGGCACCAUGAAAAAAAAAUUUUAGGUUGGGGUGACCGCGGAGCACAAAAUAACCUCCACAUUGAAUUAGGCUUACAAGCCUUGAGCGACGGACUACAGCCCUAUGCACUAAAAAAUUAACACUCAUUGACCCAAUUAUUGAUCAACGAACCAAGUUACCCCAGGGAUAACAGCGCAAUCCUCUUCAAGAGCCCCUAUCGCCAAGAGGGUUUACGACCUCGAUGUUGGAUCAGGGUAUCCCAGUGGUGCAGCCGCUACUAAUGGUUCGUUUGUUCAACGAUUAAAACCCU
rnacentral:rRNA from 1 species